CUACAGAGGGUGCAAGCGUUAUUCGGAAUUACUGGGCGUAAAGCGCGCGUAGGCGGAUGAUUAAGUCAGUUGUGAAAGCCCUGGGCUCAACCUAGGAACUGCAUCUGAUACUGGUCAUCUAGAGAUUAAGAGAGGGAAGUGGAAUUCCAGGUGUAGCAGAGAAAUGCGUAGAUAUCUGGAGGAACAUCAGUGGCGAAGGCGACUUCCUGGCUUAGAACUGACGCUGAGGUGCGAAAGCGUGGGUAGCGAACGGGAUUAGAAACCCCAGUAGUCC
rnacentral:rRNA from 1 species